GACGAACGCUGGCGGCGUGCUUAACACAUGCAAGUCGAACGAUGAAGCCGGAGCUUGCUCUGGUGAAUUAGUGGCGAACGGGUGAGUAACACGUGAGUAACCUGCCCUUGACUCUGGGAUAACUGCGGGAAACUGUAGCUAAUACCGGAUACGACCCUCGGAGGCAUCUCCUGGGGGUGGAAAGAAUUUCGGUCAAGGAUGGACUCGCGGCCUAUCAGCUAGUUGGUGAGGUAAAGGCUCACCAAGGCGACGACGGGUAGCCGGCCUGAGAGGGUGACCGGCCACACUGGGACUGAGACACGGCCCAGACUCCUACGGGAGGCAGCAGUGGGGAAUAUUGCACAAUGGGCGCAAGCCUGAUGCAGCAACGCCGCGUGAGGGAUGACGGCCUUCGGGUUGUAAACCUCUUUUAGCAGGGAAGAAGCGAAAGUGACGGUACCUGCAGAAAAAGCACCGGCUAACUACGUGCCAGCAGCCGCCGUAAUAC
rnacentral:rRNA from 1 species